rnacentral:misc_RNA from 1 species
GAUGAAGAACGCAGCGAAAUGCGAUAAGUAAUGUGAAUUGCAGAAUUCAGUGAAUCAUCGAAUCUUUGAACGCGCAUUGCGCCCAUUAGUAUUCUAGUGGGCAUGCCUGUUCGAGCGUCAUUUCAACCCUUAAGCCUAGCUUAGUAUUGGGAAUCGACUUUACUGUCGUUCCUCAAAUUCAACGGCGGAUUUAUAGCAAUCUCUGAACGUAGUAAUUUUUUUUCUCGUUUUUGAAAUACUAUAAACCUCAGCCGCUAAACCCCCAAUUUCUUAUGGUUGACCUCGGAUCAGGUAGGAAUACCCGCUGAACUUAAGCAUAUCAAUAAGCGGAGGA